ACCAGUUUGACUCAACAAUGUGUUCACGAUAUAACUCGGUGCUUGUAUUUGCAAUUGAAAUGGUUUUAUUUUUAACACAUAGUGUUGAAUUUGUAUCAUGUGCUUCUGACUGUUGUGAUGACGUCAGAACAAUAAUCUGGCUCACUCCUGUUUGCUCUGUUUUGGAACUCCUUGCCAUGCUGAUAUGUUGUGCCAUUAUAAUAAUUUGUUUCGGCAAAAAGUUCAAUCGAAUAACAGUCGACACUUCCAUCCCUGAGAAAUGACAAAUACAACGUGUUUCUGAUGAUACAAUUGUAUCUAAUCUUUUUACAUUUCUUAUUCGAAGAAUGAAUGUACGUGAUUGUUGUCAAACACAGAUUAACUGACUGAUAGAGUGUGUAUAAAAUAUAUAUGCAAUACAUGUAAUUUUUUCAACGUGAUUGUUUUUAUCAACCACAGAAGC